CGCGGUGGAUGCCUUGGUAUCAGAGGCCGAUGAAGGACGUGGUAAGGCUGCGAUAAGCCCCGUUGAGCUGCCAAACAAGCUUUGAGACGGGGGUUUUCCGAAUGGGGCAACCCCGGCCCGGUAAAACCGGGUCACUCCGGAUUGAACACAUAGAUCCGGUAGAGGGCACCGGGGGAACUGAAACAUCUAAGUACCCCGAGGAAAAGAGAAUAUUCCCCUAGUAGCGGCGAGCGAACGGGGAGGAGCCCAAACCGGCAGGAUUCGUCUUGCCGGGGUUGUAGGGCCCACCAUUGUGCAGUUACCAAUCACAUGCCUAGAAGAACGGCCCUGGAACGGCCGGCCAAAAGAGGGUGAGAGCCCCGUAAGCGAAAGGUGUGUGACUGCCGGUGGGUACCUGAGUACCACGGGACACGUGAAACCCCGUGGGAAUCUGGGGAGACCACUUCCCAAGGCUAAAUACCUCUGAUGACCGAUAGUGAACCAGUACCGUGAGGGAAAAGGUGAAAAGUACCCCGGGAGGGAGUGAAAGAGAACCUGAAACCGCGUGCCUACAUGCAGUUG
rnacentral:rRNA from 1 species